AUGACAAGUGAAGAAAUCCUGCGAUUCAAGACCGCGUUUGCAUUUUCUGUUGUUACCAAAUUCUUCGCUCCACAAUCCCUGAAAAACUUCAUAUCAACACGAUAUAUGAAAGCAGUGUUUGAUAUGGAGAACAUUCAUGCCUACAAUUGGGCACAAUUUGUCGCCGACGAGCUUAGACUAGCAGCAGCAUCUCUGCAGUUGAAGCUUUCCCGUGGAAAGAACAUUGGAUACAUCAAUGGAUGCAUGUUAAUCCCUCAGAUUCACUACCUAGACAGCUUGGACUUUGGCAAGGAUUCUCCUCCCGACCACAUUCUUCCCCGGUUUGCUGCAUACAACGACGCCAUGGUCUGUAACCUGAUCAAACGGGAUAUAAUUCUGAAAAAUCGACUUCCUUUUCCGACAUAUGGUAAACUAAAGGCACAAGAAGAUUUAUUCACAUAUACAAACUCAAUUUGUGCUGCCGACCAACUGAGAAAAAUUUGGCUACACAUAUCUGAUCCAGUCCCAAGGUUUCUAAAAUUGCAACAGAUACAAGAAGCCCUCGCAUUUGACGCUGAAAUGCAAGAUGAUGCAUUCAAUGUUGCUGUCCAAGCACUAUUCGAGGAUGAGGUGCACAGGUUCGGGGGAACAGAUUUCCUAGGCUGGAGGCACUUCUUGAAUCAAGAUUUCGCGAUAUAUAUCCCUCUCCACCAACCGUUUCAUUUCUCAGUCUACACAUUUGAUAUGGAGAACGAUAAGAUUCAGAUCAUGGACCCCUUAAGAGAUACAAGCAAAGGAGGGCAGGACAUUGAAGCUAGGCACUCUAAGACUAAAGAUCAUAUUGCGAAAGCAUUGCAGGAUUGCAUGGUCAUCUCUUUUCCAGACUGGAAACGCAAUAUUUCUAGCUGGCAGCAUGAGUUCCCAACAAAUAUUCCAGCAACUGCUAACAGGAUUGAUACUGCUUUCCACGUUCUGCAUAUCAUGAGAAAUUGGGAUGCAAAAUGCUUAGUCAAUCCAGUCUCUAGUGACUCUCGAGAUUUGCGGAAGGCCUUCCUUGCCAACCUCCUGUCAUUCACAAGUAAUGAGGCCAUACUCCCAGAAAGUGUCAACUACUACAUCAAAGCACUCAGGAGGAACUGA
rnacentral:rRNA from 1 species